UCGCAUGUAAUAAGAGUACUAUUCAAGAUAGAGCAACGUUUUAACGAACUGAAACACUGUUUCCUUGUGAAUUCAGUUAGUUCCCAUUAUUAGGCUCUUGUAAUAUGUGUACUUUUCAAGAUUUCUCAUAAUUUCGUGAGCCGAAUCUCAGUAACUUGGUGAAUUCAGUUAGUUCGCCAUAGGCCGCAAUACCAAUAAGUAGACUUUCGGGAUAUAGAAAAAUUUUCAUGAAUGGAAUCAAAAUUUCUAGGCGAAUUCAGUGAGUUCCCAAUGGGAAAUGCCUGUAUGUUGUGCUUUUCAAGAUAUAGCAGCAUUUUAACGAACGGAAUCAAUGUAUCAUGGUGAAUUCAGCAGGUUCCCAAUAGAAUUCGCAUGUAAUAAGAGUACUAUUCCAGAUAGAGCAACGUUUUAACGAACUGAAACACUGUUUCUUUGUGAAUUCAGUUAGUUCCUUUAGCAGGCUCUUGUAAUAUGUGUACUUUUCAAGAUUUCUCAUAAUUUCGUGAGCCGAAUCUCAGUAACUUGUGAAUUCAGUUAGUUCCCAGUAGCCCGCAAUAGUAAUAAGUGGAGUGUUCGGGAAUUAGAAAAAUUUUCACAAAUGGAAUCAAAAUUUCUAGACGAAAACAGUGAGUUUCCAUUGGGACAUGAUUGUAUGAGUGUGCUUUUUAUGAUAUUUCAACAUUUUUACAAACCGAUCUAAAUAUCAUGGUAUAUUCAGGAGGUUCCCAAUAAAAUUCGCUUGUAAUAAGAGUACUAUUCAAAAUACAGCAACGUUUUAAAGAACUGAAACACUGUUCUUUUGUGUAUUCAGUUAGUUCCCAUUAGCCGGCUCUUGUAAUAUGUGUACUUUUCAAGAUUUCUCAUAAUUUCGUGACCCGAAUCUCAGAAACUUGGUGAGUUCAGUUAGUUCCCAAUAGGCCGCAAUAGUAAUAAGUGGACUGCUCGGGAUGUAGAAAAGUUUUCACGAAUGGAAACAAAAUUUCUUUGCGAAUUCAGUGAGUUCCCAAUGGGACAUGCUGGUAUGAGUGUGCUUUUCAAGAUAGAGCAACAUUUUAACGAACAGUGUCUAAAUAUUAUGGUGAAUUCAGCAGGUUCCCAGUAGGAUUCGCAUUUAAUAAGACUACUAUUCAAGAUAGAGCCACGUUUUAACGAACUGAAACACUUUUUGUUUGUGAAUUCAGUUAGUUCCCCUUAGCAGGUUUUUGUAAUAUGUGUACUUUUCAAGAUUUCUCAUAAUUUCGUGAGCCGAAUCUCAGUAACGUGGAGAAUUCAGUUAGUUCCCAAUAGCCCGCAAUAGUAUUAAGUGGAGGGUUCGGGAAUUAGAAAAAUUUUCACAAAUGGAAUCAAAAUUUCUAGGCGAAUACAGUGAGUUUCCAUUGGGACAUGAUUGUAUGAGUGUGCUUUUUACGAUAUUUCAACAUUUUUACAAACCGAUCUAAGUAUCAUGGUUUAUUCAGUAGGUUCCCAGUAGUGUUCGCAUGUAAUAACAGUCCUAUUCAAGAUAGAGGACGUUUUAACGAACUGAAACACUGUUUCUUUGUGAAUUCAGUUAGUUCCCAUUAGCAGGCUCUUGUAAUAUAUGUACUUUUAAAAUAUUAUGAAAAUUUCGUGACCCGAAUCUCAGUAACUUUGUGAAUUGUUAGUUCCCAAUAGGCCGCAAUAGUAAUAAGUGGACUGCUCAGGAUAUAAAAAAAUUUUCAC
rnacentral:lncRNA from 1 species